rnacentral:rRNA from 1 species
AACGAACGCUGGCGGCAUGCCUAACACAUGCAAGUCGAACGAGACCUUCGGGUCUAGUGGCGCACGGGUGCGUAACGCGUGGGAAUCUGCCCUUGGGUUCGGAAUAACUCACCGAAAGGUGUGCUAAUACCGGAUGAUGUCGAAAGACCAAAGAUUUAUCGCCCGAGGAUGAGCCCGCGUAGGAUUAGCUAGUUGGUGAGGUAAAGGCUCACCAAGGCGACGAUCCUUAGCUGGUCUGAGAGGAUGAUCAGCCACACUGGGACUGAGACACGGCCCAGACUCCUACGGGAGGCAGCAGUGGGGAAUAUUGGACAAUGGGCGAAAGCCUGAUCCAGCAAUGCCGCGUGAGUGAUGAAGGCCUUAGGGUUGUAAAGCUCUUUUACCCGGGAAGAUAAUGACUGUACCGGGAGAAUAAGCCCCGGCUAACUCCGUGCCAGCAGCCGC